rnacentral:rRNA from 1 species
CACGGAUUUAUUCGUUAGAGAGCGGCGUACGGGUGCGUAACACGUGUGCAACCUACCUUUAUCAGGGGGAUAGCCUUUCGAAAGGAAGAUUAAUACCCCAUAAUAUAUCAGAUGGCAUCAUUUGAUAUUGAAAACUCCGGUGGAUAGAGAUGGGCACGCGCAAGAUUAGUUAGUUGGUGAGGUAACGGCUCACCAAGACUACGAUCUUUAGGGGGCCUGAGAGGGUGAUCCCCCACACUGGUACUGAGACACGGACCAGACUCCUACGGGAGGCAGCAGUGAGGAAUAUUGGACAAUGGGUGAAAGCCUGAUCCAGCCAUCCCGCGUGAAGGAUUAAGGACCUACGGUUUGUAAACUUCUUUUAUAUAGGGAUAAACCUCUCCUCGUGAGGAGAGCUGAAGGUACUAUAUGAAUAAGCACCGGCUAACUCCGUGCCAGCAGCCGCGGUAAUACGGAGGGUGCAAGCGUUAUCCGGAUUUAUUGGGUUUAAAGGGUCCGUAGGCGGGCUAAUAAGUCAGUGGUGAAAUCUCAUAGCUUAACUAUGAAACUGCCAUUGAUACUGUUAGUCUUGAGUAUAGUUGAGGUAGCUGGAAUAAGUAGUGUAGCGGUGAAAUGCAUAGAUAUUACUUAGAACACCAAUUGCGAAGGCAGGUUACCAAGUUAUAACUGACGCUGAUGGACGAAAGCGUGGGGAGCGAACAGGAUUAGAUACCCUGGUAGUCCACGCCGUAAACGAUGCUAACUC